rnacentral:rRNA from 1 species
GGAGGGUGCGAGCGUUAAUCGGAAUUACUGGGCGUAAAGCGCGCGUAGGCGGCAAGGUCAGUCGGAUGUGAAAGCCCCGGGCUUAACCUGGGAAUUGCAUUCGAAACUGCCUCGCUAGAGUAUGGGAGAGGGAAGCGGAAUUUCCGGUGUAGCGGUGAAAUGCGUAGAUAUCGGAAGGAACACCAGUGGCGAAGGCGACUUCCUGGCCCAAUACUGACGCUCAGGUGCGAAAGCGUGGGUAGCGAACAGGGAUUAGAUACCCUGGUAGUCCACGCCGUAAACGAUGAGAACUAGAUGUCGGGAGGAUUUACCUUUCGGUGUCGCAGCUAACGCAUUAAGUUCUCCGCCUGGGGAGUACGCCGGCAACGGUA